UACGUAGGGGGCGAGCGUUGUCCGGAAUUAUUGGGCGUAAAGAGCGUGUAGGCGGUUCGGUAAGUCUGCCGUGAAAACCUGGGGCUCAACCCCGGGCGUGCGGUGGAUACUGCCGGGCUAGAGUGCGGGAGAGGCGAGUGGAAUUCCUGGUGUAGCGGUGAAAUGCGCAGAUAUCAGGAGGAACACCAAUUGCGAAGGCAGCUCGCUGGGACGUUACUGACGCUGAGACGCGAAAGCGUGGGGAGCAAACAGG
rnacentral:rRNA from 1 species